ACACUACCAGGGAACUCUACUUCCUGGGUCUUAGCUCCCAGCAGUCUUGGUUAUUCUCACAUGGGUUUCAGCUCUCCAAGAGGAUCAGACCUAGGAGGACAUUUUCCCUUGUCAACUCUCUAGAUAUCUGUACCAGGAAGAUGAUGAAGGCCACUAUGUGGUGAAUAGCUGCUGCAAUAAUGGCAUGGAGCUGGGACCAGGCUACAGGAUGAGCUGGGCUAGACAGUGAGUUGGACAUACCUGCUAUGAGUGCUGAAAACUUCAGCAAAAGUGGAGUUGAACCCUUUUGUUUCCUCAACAUGAAAUCAUGGUUGAACAGCAGUGAUUCUGCUAAGUUUGUUAGCUCUACUUGGCAAGCGUUUCAGAGCUAUCCUACAGAACAGACUGAUAUGGAUGGAUUGGUAGAGAGGGAAGACAUUAUUAGCCCAUGGUUUCACGGAUUCACAUAUACUCCAAAAUGUCAAGAAAGAGAGCAACAGAUGUAAGAAAGCCUAAAUUCAGUCCUGAUCUCUGUUAUACUCUGAAGAGUCUAUUCAUGAGAUUAUUAAAGAUGAAGCUGAUCAGAUACCUUUGGUAAUGCCUACUACAUGUGCUAUGAUAUUAUUUCACAGGACAUCUUGUUGAACUUACAAUAUAGUUAAGCUGCCAUAGGUAAACUGUCAUAUCUUUAUCGAAAUAAUACUCUUCUUGUGUAACUCUCAUUGAGUGAAGGCUCUUACACUUCAGCUGUGGUAUAUACCAGAACUCUCUUUAGCAUAGUAGACUUUAAGUUUCCAUACAAAAUUAAAUUUAAAUUUUUAUUUCAUCUGCAAUAUUUUACUUGAUCUCUUUACAUAAUUACAGUGAAUGCUAAUGACUGCGAGCCAGAAACAUGUGUCAGUUCUGACCUACUGCUUCACAUGCUUUUGAAAAUUUUUUCUGAAGAUUUCAGGAGGGAUUAUUGCAGUUUUGUUGUGGCACUAGUAGUUCCAGAAUGACUUAGAUCGACCCAUGGCAAAUGGUCGGGCUGUGUUUCCACCUUUGGGGCAAACCGUCCCAGGUGUACUGAACACAACUCCAUGUUAAAAAAUACUUUGGCUUGCAUUCGGUGGCCAAAGGAAUUGAAAAGAAGGUGUUAUCAAUGUCAGUGUUGGAAUACUACUUGGCUGCUUCUGACUCCAGUUCCUACAGGACAUCUAACAUGUCCAGAACAAAAGCAGUCAGUCGGGGUGUAACUGCAUUCAGGCCAUGGUAGUCUACCGUCAGCUUCUAUUCUCUGGCUUUACGCACUGGCAGUAUGGGGCUGUUUAAAGGUACAGUGUAGGUACUAUGUCAUGUCCAUGUCAUAAACUGCCAAGAACAAUAGCACUGCACUUCUGAUUUAUCCUUCCAUUUCGUCACCAUGCUGAUGACAAAAAGUGCAUCCUAGAUAUGCAUUUUGUUCAUCGAAAAAAAUAAGACAAUAAACAUAAUUGGGUUAAUUGAAAACUAGGUAUAAGCUCACAGUGCUGUUGGACAAUGAGUUAGGUAAGAUGACUGUUCUAAUAUAGAAAGAUGUCUCCUUGACCAACUGUGCAAAUAGAGAAAGCAGUUCUAAACAUCUAAUUUAUUUCCUUUGUAUUUCUAGCAUACCUGCUGUAAAUGCAAGAUUAUAGUUGAAAAUUUUGUACUAUGGUGUAAUUUGUUAAGCUAUAGGCAGACUUCUGCAACUUCUGCAUUGUAAUUUCUGCUUUUUUUUUGGACCACGUUACAGCUUUCUUUUUCUAGUAAAAUAUUUCUAAAUACACUUCAUACUGUGUUUCUAUUUUCUGACUGGCAACUUAUCAGGAAGCAUAUGGUGUAAAAGCAUACUGUAUGUUAUAACUCGAAUAAAUUCUGAAAAGCAUUUUGAUACAUGUACAUUUUUUUAAAGCUUUCUGCAACCUCUUUUCCUUUGAAAUCCCCACUGAGUAGCUGCUCCAAUAAGUAAGAUGUUUAUAUUACAUACUUCUUGCCAUUCUUCUGGAAUGUUGUUAUUUACUUACUGUUUGCUUCCCUUUGGAAUAUCCUACUGUGUAUGAUAUAUUGAUUUCAAAUUACGCAUACUACAACUUUUCAUUUUACUUUUGCUUUUUGUUAGCUUUCUGGUAAUGGAAGCAGAGACCACUGUACA